UCGCGGCCUAUCAGCUUGUUGGUGGGGUAAUGGCCUACCAAGGCGACGACGGGUAGCCGGCCUGAGAGGGCGACCGGCCACACUGGGACUGAGACACGGCCCAGACUCCUACGGGAGGCGGCAGUGGGGAAUAUUGCACAAUGGGCGAAAGCCUGAUGCAGCGACGCCGCGUGAGGGAUGAAGGCCUUCGGGUCGUAAACCUCUUUCAGCAGGGAAGAAGCGCAAGUGACGGUACCUGCAGAAGAAGCACCGGCUAACUACGUGCCAGCAGCCGCGGUAAUACGUAGGGUGCGAGCGUUGUCCGGAAUUAUUGGGCGUAAAGAGCUCGUAGGCGGCUUGUCGCGUCGGAUGUGAAAGCCCGGGGCUUAACCCCGGGUCUGCAUUCGAUACGGGCAGGCUAGAGUGUGGUAGGGGAGAUCGGAAUUCCUGGUGUGGCGGUGAAAUGCGCAGAUAUCAGGAGGAACACCGGUGGCGAAGGCGGAUCUCUGGGCCAUUACUGACGCUGAGGAGCGAAAGCGUGGGGAGCGAACAGGAUUAGAUACCCUGGUAGUCCACGCCGUAGACGGUGGGAACUAGGUGUUGGCGACAUUCCACGUCGUCGGUGCCGCAGCUAACGCAUUAAGUCCCCCGCCUGGGGAGUACGG
rnacentral:rRNA from 1 species